rnacentral:tRNA from 1 species
GGUCCUAUCGUAUAAUCGGCUAGUACAACACGCUUUCAAUGUGUAAACAGGAGUUCGAACCUCCUUAGGACUACCA